AAACAAUUAGUUUUCUGACGGAAACGGUUAGAAAACACAAGGAGGAACACAUAUUUCCACCCAUGUUCUCUACAGAAGCAAGCAAAAUAAUGACUAUGGAUGAAAGGAACAGAAGAUCUAUGAAAAUAACCCUUCGGAUGGUCUUCAAUCUGCAUGUACUACUGCAGUGUAAAACAUAGACUGCAAUUCUGCACUCACUUAUGAAUUGCUAUUAAUCUAGAGGAUUUACCAAGACACCAAUGGACACCAUUAUUUAAGUCUACAGGAACAAAAACACUAAAAGCAUGGAGUGUGACACAUAACUAUGUUAAAAUUCUCCAUUUAGUUUUUCAUAUGUACAUAUCAGUGCUCAUAGUCCAGUUAAUACCUAAAGAAAAAAAAAGACAAAAAAAAAAAAAAAAAAACUCUGAUGUGAGAUGAUGUUAAAGUAUUACUAAUCAGCCUUGCACAAAAUUGUCAAAUUUAAAAUGAAAUAAAAUCAAACAUGGGGCACAUUAUAUGACUGAAAA